rnacentral:rRNA from 1 species
GACGAACGCUGGCGGCGUGCCUAAUACAUGCAAGUCGAACGCACUCUCGUUUAGAUUGAAGGAGCUUGCUCCUGAUUGAUAAACAUUUGAGUGAGUGGCGGACGGGUGAGUAACACGUGGGUAACCCGCCCUAAAGUGGGGGAUAACAUUUGGAACAGAUGCUAAUACCGCAUAAAACCUAACACCGCAUGGUGUAGGGUUGAAAGAUGGUUUCGGCUAUCACUUUAGGAUGGACCCGCGGUGCAUUAGUUAGUUGGUGAGGUAAAGGCUCACCAAGACCGUGAUGCAUAGCCGACCUGAGAGGGUAAUCGGCCACACUGGGACUGAGACACGGCCCAGACUCCUACGGGAGGCAGCAGUAGGGAAUCUUCCACGAUGGACGAAAGUCUGAUGGAGCAACGCCGCGUGAGUGAAGAAGGUUUUCGGAUCGUAAAACUCUGUUGUUGGAGAAGAAUGUAUCUGAUAGUAACUGAUCAGGUAGUGACGGUAUCCAACCAGAAAGCC